rnacentral:rRNA from 1 species
GACGAACGCUGGCGGUAUGCUUAACACAUGCAAGUCGAACGAGACGGGAUGGAAGGAGCCUUCGGGUGACGGAAAUCCUAGAAAGUGGCGAACGGGUGAGUAACGCGUGGGUAACCUGCCCUAUGGAAAGGAAUAGCCUCGGGGAACUGGGAGGAAUGCCUGAUAAUAUACAGAAGUCGCAUGGCUUUUGGAUUAAACGCUCCGGUGCCAUAGGAUGGACCCGCGUCCCAUUAGCUAGUUGGUGAGAUAACAGCCCAUCAAGGCGACGAUGGGUAACCGGUCUGAGAGGGCGAACGGUCACACUGGAACUGAGACACGGUCCAGACUCCUACGGGAGGCAGCAGUGGGGAAUAUUGCGCAAUGGGGGCAACCCUGACGCAGCAAUACCGCGUGAGUGAAGAAGGUUUUCGGAUCGUAAAGCUCUGUUAUUGGGGAAGAAAAAAGACGGUACCCAAGAAGAAAGUCCCGGCUAACUACGUGCCAGCAGCCGCGGUAA